UUUUGGGGGUGUGACAGAUUGGUAUCAGAGCCAUUGGUUAUAGCGAACUUGGUUUUAAUAAGGGGAAAACGUUUUUAUUAAAACCAGACUAUAACCUGUACAGUGCUCAACGAUCCACAACGACGCCUCGCUCCACGUGCAAGACUCAACAUUCUAGGUAAUAUGGACCAUAGGUACUCAUGGAGCUUGCACGGGAGGUGCGAUCGUUGUGGGCACAUGGACUGUUGAGUUCCAUGUCAUAC
rnacentral:lncRNA from 1 species